rnacentral:rRNA from 1 species
UACGUAGGGUGCAAGCGUUAAUCGGAAUUACUGGGCGUAAAGCGUGCGCAGGCGGUUCGCUAAGACAGAUGUGAAAUCCCCGGGCUUAACCUGGGAACUGCAUUUGUGACUGGCGGGCUAGAGUAUGGCAGAGGGGGGGUAGAAUUCCACGUGUAGCAGUGAAAUGCGUAGAGAUGUGGAGGAAUACCGAUGGCGAAGGCAGCCCCCUGGGCCAAUACUGACGCUCAUGCGACGAAAGCGUGGGGAGCAAACAGG